rnacentral:rRNA from 1 species
GACGAACGCUGGCGGCGUGCCUAAUACAUGCAAGUAGAACGCUGAAGAGAGGAGCUUGCUCUUCUUGGAUGAGUUGCGAACGGGUGAGUAACGCGUAGGUAACCUGCCUUGUAGCGGGGGAUAGCUAUUGGAAACGAUAGCUAAUACCGCAUAACAAUGGAUGACCCAUGUCAUUUAUUUGAAAGGGGCAAAUGCUCCACUACAAGAUGGACCUGCGUUGUAUUAGCUAGUAGGUGAGGUAACGGCUCACCUAGGCGACGAUACAUAGCCGACCUGAGAGGGUGAUCGGCCACACUGGGACUGAGACACGGCCCAGACUCCUACGGGAGGCAGCAGUAGGGAAUCUUCGGCAAUGGGGGCAACCCUGACCGAGCAACGCCGCGUGAGUGAAGAAGGUUUUCGGAUCGUAAAGCUCUGUUGUAAGUCAAGAACGAGUGUGAGAGUGGAAAGUUCACACUGUGACGGUAGCUUACCAGAAAGGGACGGCUAACUACGUG